UUCCUGGGGUUAAAAACAGUUUCUUUACCUUAGUGUCUCUUGAUCCCCUUUCCCUUUCAGCAAAUAGAACUUUAGGAAGAUUACCUUAUUCACGGGGUAUAAGUCCUAAAAAUUAAAAUAGAUUUCAGAAUUUGAAUUAUGUGACAGUUGGAUUGAGAUGAUGGUUCAGUUUAAAAGUUCAGUUCAGUUUAGAUGAAAAGAAGCAGUUAGUAGGACAGUUCUAAAAAGUAGUCAAAGGGUGAGAGGGUUUUGCCCAAGCUUCCUGGGGCAGUCUGGUCAGCAAGGAACUUCCUUAGCUAUUGGAGGCGAGAGUUGAUUGGGAAAUCUUUGGAAAUCUUCAUAGCUAUUGGCCAAGAAACCUUGCUAGGACAGCCAGUUAAGAAGGUUGGAAGGAAACCUUCUAGAAAACAGCUGAGAAGUUUAACCAUGAUUGGCUAAAAAAUAAUUGUUAGCUUAACCUAGAUAAAGGUUUACUAAACAGACAACUUCUAGGUCAGAGUUUCAAGUGGCACAGAAAAUAGCAAUUCUUUGGAGAACUUAGCUCAGACAGAGGAAAAAAAUGGAAAGAACAUUUGAGCCACUUGAAACAUCCUUGGGCUGCCAUCUACAGAGAGAGGCUUAUUAGCCAUAGCAUUUCCCACUGGAUAGUGAAGGUUAAAAGAACUAAUACAAGUGUAGCCACAGCAUCCCCAGUUUUUUUUUUUUCUCAGUGUGUGGAUAAAUGCUAAAGAUAAAUGGAGUCAACAAAUAGCUAGAUUAGAGGACAACACCUGAUGACAAAGGAACAUGGAGCAGUAGCUGGUGGUGAUGAGGAGAAAGCAGGAGAUAUCUGGUGGAGGAAAACAAAGAUCAAUAAAAGGCAUGAAAUGCAGCUUUGCGGUGUCAGAGUCAAACCAGCCAUUUCUGGAGGAAAGCAUGUGGAGGACUUGGCAGGGCAGGGCAUUGCUCUCAGAACUUUCUGAAUACUUCCCUCAUAGACACUCAGAUCUACCUAAAGAAAUUAUGGAUCUCAUUUAGGAGGCUCCACAAUAUUUUGAGAAUAGAUGCAAUUAAAACAAUGUUAUACAUGUAAUUUGGAGCAUCUGGAAGGCCUUGCCAUCUACAAAGAAUCUUCCUCUGAUUCAAGCUCUGCUGAAGUUCUUCCAUGACACUGGCACACAGGCAGAAGGACGCUGCGGGGAAGAGUAAAAGCUUCAUUUUUUAGAGUGUUAUACACUAGAAGUAUGGGGAAGAAUAUACAAAUCAUUAGCUCUAAAUUAUAAGAGAUAAAAACUGGGAGCUGGGAGCAGACUUAUGGCUUUUACGAGGGAAUAUCACCAUCCUCAUGACAAUGGAUGGCUUCUCAAGAAUAUGAACACAAGUUCAUGUUGUACUUUUCCCACACAAGUCCCGAAAGGAACCCCAGAAAGAAGAUGGAGGGGAAUGAAGAGGAAUAACUACAUUGUUACCACAAUGGAUGCAGUGCAACCAGAAGUUGAGACCUGUGCAACUAAUUAUUAUAUUACUGCUGUUCAGUGACAUCCUUUACUACUAUGUAAGGUAUAAGGAAUUUCCCUGAGCUCAAUAAAAUUUAAUUUUA